rnacentral:rRNA from 1 species
CGUCUUUCUACGAAUCAAACGACUCUCGGCAACGGAUAUCUCGGCUCUCGCAUCGAUGAAGAACGUAGCGAAAUGCGAUACUUGGUGUGAAUUGCAGAAUCCCGUGAACCAUCGAGUUUUUGAACGCAAGUUGCGCCCGAAGCCGUCAGGCCGAGGGCACGUCUGCCUGGGCGUCACGCAUCGCGUCGCCCCC